GGGAAGGUGGCUCAAUGGUAGAGCGAUUGCCUUGCAUGCAUGAGGCCCUGGGUUCGAUUCCUCAGCCUACAUA
rnacentral:tRNA from 1 species